rnacentral:lncRNA from 1 species
UGUAGGAAUAAUCCAAACCGAGUCAUAUUCAGUUAGGCAGGUUGCCGUAUAGUCUGGAAAGUUUUUCAUGUGGAUGUCCUGGUCAUAUACGAAUUGUACUAGCUGGUUUAGGAAUUAGUAAUUAGUGUGCAGGUGAAGUCCGGUUAGGAUUGACUCUCCGUGUUGGACUUAGACGUCUAGUUGGAGUCGGCUUGCUAGCCAGGUUGAUGUAUAU